CACGUAGGGCGCAAGCGUUGUCCGGAAUCAUUGGGCGUAAAGAGCUCGUAGGCGGUCUGUUGCGUCCGCUGUGAAAACUCGGGGCUUAACCCCGAGCUUGCAGUGGAUACGGGCAGACUAGAGGUAGGUAGGGGAGAAUGGAAUUCCCGGUGUAGCGGUGAAAUGCGCAGAUAUCGGGAGGAACACCGGUGGCGAAGGCGGUUCUCUGGGCCUUACCUGACGCUGAGGAGCGAAAGCGUGGGGAGCGAACAGG
rnacentral:rRNA from 1 species